GAUAGAAGAACACAAGCUAAAGACUUUACAUUCUAUGAAAACGCUUGUGUAAUCAACAUCAAGUUUG
rnacentral:sRNA from 1 species